rnacentral:lncRNA from 1 species
CACCUUCCAAUGUGGCAGAAUCUAUUAGAAAGCACAAAAGAUAUUUCAAAGAGAUUUUUUUUCUUUUUUGAGGAAGGUUAGCCCUGAGCUGACAUCUGCCACCAAUCCUCCUCUUUUUUGCUGAGGAAGACUGGCCCUGAGCUACCAUCCAUGCCCAUCCUCCUCUACUUUAUAUGUGGGACGCCCGCCACAGCAUGGCUUGACAAGUGGUGCAUAGGUCCGCACCUGGGAUCUGAACCUGCGAACCCCAGGCCACCGAAGUGGAACGUGUGAACUUAACCACUGCACCACUGGACCAGCCCGCAAAGAGUUUUAAAUAAGAUGAGAAAAGUGUCCUCUCUUCACACUUGACUCCUCAGGGAGAAAGGAUGUGUGUGCCAGCUCAAGAGGACGUGAAGGUAUUUGAAUCUAGACGAACGGCUCCAGUCAUCCAGAAACAGCUCCCUUUAGUGGCCAAUUCAGUGCGUAACUAAUUAACCAGAACUGGUGGGAAUUAAUCUGGAAUUUCCCAAGGACUGGGUGGAGUGUUUUAGGAUUAGCAUCUCUUCCUGGAAACUAAGGAUUAACUACCAACCUGCUGUGCUCACCUUGUGACCACUGACCUGCUGACCACUGAUCUACAGUGCCAGCUAAGUAUCUCGUGACAAUUGUAAAAGGGACAUUCCUAUCAUAUGUGAUGUAUGCUCUUUGUUCCAAGACUAGGUAUAAACACUCUGUGUACCCUACUUCUUUGGCGCCCUUCCUUCCUUGGAGAAGGAAGGCCCCAGGCUAGUCCUCAGAUCUGGCUUAUAAUAAACUCACUCCAAUUUUAAUUUAUAUUGAUUAUGGAUUAUUUACAUCCACAUUUUGUAUAUCAUACAGUUACGCCAGGCCACAGAUGAUGGCGUCCAACCCAAUUCAUUGACAGGCUAGCCACCAAUCAGAUGCUCUCUCAAAAUGUGCAGUAAGGCCUUGCUACUCAAAGUGUGAUACCCUGCAGCAUCAGGGGAUCACCUGGGAUUCUAGGGACCUCCAUAGACCCACUGAACUGGAACCUGCAGUCUCACAAUUUCCUGGGUGAUUCACAUGCAGAUGAAUGUCUGAGAAGUGCUGCCUUAAGAGACGUAGAUAUCUUGGAAAGUCAGUACAUGUGAAUGCUUUAACCAUACCCAGAAUUGGUGGUCAUUUUUCAUCAUACAAAGUUCUGAUGGAUUCGUAAAGCAAGCAAGAAAGCCUAUCUGCUGAUAGAAGUUGAGUAUUUCAGAAGAUAAGAAGAAAGAAGCAGAAAUUAAAUACAUGGAGACACAGAGGAGGAAGCCUGGGUUCUUGAAUUUUCUAUAGCAAGCUCCCGCAGAGCAGGCUUUCCUUCAUCUUUUCAUCUUGGUUGUCCAGGAGAUUUCUGGUUAGAUCCUUACAAUGAACCCCUC